rnacentral:lncRNA from 13 species
AUGGCUGAGCAAAGCCACCAAUUAAAACAAACCCUUGUGAGCACUGUGGAAGAUGGUCAUUUUCAACACAUGGUGCUUGUAGUGCUCUCUAGCCUUUCCUGAAGGGCCUUGGAAUACAGAUAUGAGAAGCACGUCAGCAUGUCAUUGGCAAGGUUCUUAGCUGGCUGUGCUUUGCUACUUCCUUGAGAGUCAGCUGUCCCAAGGAGGAAUCUGUACAACUUGACUCAGACGCUGUGGGUGAUACCAGGAGCUCUAGCACACAACUUUGAAAACUCAGAUGUGAGCACUCUACUUUUAAUUUGUCAUAUUCAUUUUAGAAGUAAAUAAAUAUACUUUAAAAUUUCUAUACUGUAUGUAA